AUACGGAGGGUGCAAGCGUUACUCGGAAUCACUGGGCGUAAAGCGCGCGCAGGCGGGCUGAUAAGUUGGAUGUGAAAGCCUACGGCUCAACCGUAGAACUGCAUCCAAAACUGUCAGUCUAGAGUCUGGGAGGGGAAGAUGGAAUUAGUUGUGUAGGGGUAAAAUCCGUAGAGAUAACUAGGAAUACCAAAAGCGAAGGCGAUCUUCUGGAACAGUACUGACGCUGAGGCGCGAAAGCGUGGGGAGCAAACAGGAUUAGAAACCCCGUAGUCC
rnacentral:rRNA from 1 species